CUUGGCGGCGAUAGUGCGGUGGGACCACCUGACACCAUGCCGAACUCAGAAGUGAAACGCUGUAACGCCGAUGGUAGUGUGGGGAUUCCCCAUGUGAGAGUAGGGCACCGCCAAGU
rfam:Haemophilus somnus 2336, complete genome.